rnacentral:rRNA from 1 species
ACACUUUACAAUGCGGGAAACCGCGAUAAGGGAACCCCGAGUGCCAGCAUCAAAUGUUGGCUGUCCAGAUGAUUAAAAAUCAUUUGUUAGCAAGGGCCGGGCAAGACCGGUGCCAGCCGCCGCGGUAACACCGGCGGCCCGAGUGGUAGCCGUUUUUAUUGGGUCUAAAGGGUCCGUAGCCGGCCUGAUAAGUCCUUUGGGAAAUCUGGCAGCUUAACUGUCAGGCUUCUAAGGGAUACUGUCAGGCUUGGGACCGGAAGAGGUAAGGGGUACUCCAGGGGUAGGAGUGAAAUCUUGUAAUCCCUGGGGGACCAUCUGUGGCGAAGGCGCCUUACCAGAACGGGUCCGACGGUGAGGGACGAAAGCUAGGGGAGCAAACCGGAUUAGAUACCCGGGUAGUCCUAGCUGUAAACGGUGCUCGCUAGGUGUCAGACACGGUGCGACCGUGUUUGGUGCCGCAGGAAAGCCGUUAAGCGAGCCACCUGGAAGUACGCCGCAAGGC